AUCGUCUCUUUCGGAGCCCUUUCAGCGAAUGGCGUCCCGCGGCGCAUUGUGCCGUUGGUGGGCGGAGAUUGAGCGCUGCGCUGCGGGGGAAAGAGGCGCAAAACGAUACGUCAACAUGGGAGAAGUGAUGAUACGAGUUCACAAGUCUUGCGUGCACUCGUCUAGCCAGGCUGCUUAAGCAUGUCCACAGAUGACAGCAUCUCAGAGGACGUGUCUAGCUCCGUGGCACUGAGCCAUGACCCCACAAGCCCCAAUGGCGGGAAGGAGAGCGAGGCCUCCGUGGUCUCCUCCGCGGACACAGUGUCGGGUCUGGCUCUUCCCGAGGAGACGGCUGUGAUAACUCGACCCUCCAGCACACCAGCAUGCACCAUUUCCAGCAGAAUAAGGAGUCUGUGUCUCAGCAGCGCUGAGGAGUUCAGCUCAGGGAGAAGCUUGCCCUUCAUCAACCCCAGUUCUUUAGAGACGCUCCGAGCGUUGGUGCACGAGAUCCAGAGCAGCGAGACGGACCCCGAGAUCUGGAAGAACUGUGAGGGCAGGUGGCUACACCUCUUUCAGCUGGUGGAGAAGCAAUACCAAGAACAAAUUCUUGCACAGCAAGAUCAGUAUCAGUGCCAAAUACAGCUCAUUCAGGACGAGAUCAAAGCAUUAUUGCAGCUACAGAAGCGGCAUUGUGGUGCACAUUCGAACCCCUUGAGCACAGCCAAAACUUUGGAGCCUCCAGCGGACCUGGAGAAUGAAAUCCAAGCUUCUCGCCCGUCAAAGGUCACAGCUAACCCUCAGGAGAGCUCAGAUGAGGGCCUGGUGACUGUUCAGAGCAGCGGCUAUGGCACUCUGUCCACCUGGGAGCCUGGAACAACAUCGGGGAGCUUGGAAGGGAAGGACGAGGUGUCGCACUCCCUUUUGGCUAAAACACAGGGGCAAGACAGUGCACCAAGCAGGACUGUGGCUUCUAAUAAUUCACCUCACACAACUGUGCCAAAUCGUCCUGCUGACCAGCAGAGACUAAACAGUCAACCACUGACCUCCUGGGUCCAGAGGCAGAAACACAGGCAAAGAAAAAGCAAAACGGCACAAAACCGCUCACCGCAGCUGGAGGGGAGAGAAGAGGCCAAAGCAGGUGGCUCUCCUAAGGAACAUAUGGAACAUGUGGAUGAAUUUGGACAUAGUGCAGUCUACUCGAGCCCUGCGGACCUGAAGAGAAGCGACAGCCUUGUGUCGGAAGCCUCGGGUCUGACCUACUGGAAAUUGGAAGAAGGCGAGCUCUACCGCCCUCUACCAGACAGCUUUGAAAGCAGCUCUUUCUUCCUAAUGCAGGAUGUUAAUCUGAGCCAGCAUUCAGAAGAUGAGGCACGCCUGUCUCUGUCUCUCAGAGAGAUCUACCAGAGCAAGCAGAAGGUGGAUCCUAAAGGCCAGGAGUGGGACUCCUUAAUCAACUCUGAUGCAUCUUCGCCUCAGGUGCUGACCCUGGACCCCGGAUCUCACACAAGGCAGUCAGAGCGCACGUCGGGCUUCACGUCUCCCUCGCGCUUCAGCAGUCCCACCUCGCCCAUGUCGCACACCUCACACACCGUUCCCCGAGGUCACAGUGAAGACGAAGGCAGCCGGACAGCCACCAUGACCCUGCAGGCCACGGGCUCGUCGGUGUACGAGCCACGCCCAAAUGGCAGGAAACCAGAGGCUUCGACUUCACUGGACGACCCUGUGGUACUCUCGUUGCUGAGACAGAACCUGAGGGAGAAACACGCACGGCACAUAGCAGACCUCCGAGCAUACUACGAGUCAGAGAUCAGCAUCCUGAAGGAAAAGCUUGAUUUGGUCAAUUUGCCCCUGGACAUGGAGAAAAGCAAUCAGAUCCUGCUAGAACGGUGUGAACACUUGGAGCGGGCUCUUACGGAGGCUAGUAUGUGCAUCAGAGACCUGGAGAACAAGAACCAGCACCUGGAGAGACAGCUAAUGGAGUGGCCUGAGCGUUACGAUGCAGCCAGUUCCACGGUGAAGGCUCUGCAGCAGCGUCUGGAGGAGAGCAAGCAGAGCAGCAGAGAAAAAGACAACACCACGAGCAAGCUGAGGAGCCGCCUGCGCCAGCUGGAGGAGGCUGUACAGAACGCCUGCAAAGAGGUGGAUGAAAAAGAGGCUCGCAUGAAGAAAGAGUACAAGAUGCUGCAGGAUCUGCUUCAAGAGUAUGACUCAUUAAGAAAAGAUCAUGAGGGGGUGAAGGACAAGUUGGUGUCAACUGAAAAUAAACUCUCUGAUGCUAAUGAACAAAUAGCAGAACUGAAGAGGGUCAUUUCCAAACUGGAAGCACAAGUGAAGCAGCUGGAAUAUGAGAACAUGAGUAAAACUCGCCAGGCUUGGCACAGCCACUUGCAGCCUUCAGGAGCUGGCUUGUUCCACCAUCCUGAUCUUCUACUUUCACCAAGCAGAAGGCUUCAUGACCUGGAAUGUGGCUCAAAGAAUCCUGGUGUUUCAGAGAAAGGAGGAAUAGGAAGAUGCCGCCCUUCACCUCCGGAGAGAGAGCAGACACACGAGGAGCCGACAAGGAGAGACGUGUUACUGACCCCCAUGAUGAAGGCUCUGAUUCAGAUGGAGGACACCAAAGCCACAGAGGGGCGGGUUCUGACAAAAACUCACUGCGGCUCUCCCAGUAAGACGCACGUGUUUCACAGAAGCAAGAAACCCACAGUGGCAUUUGUGGACAGUGUAAGAGAGUCUUUACUUGAAAGAGGUGAAGCUGUGCUUCGACCUCAGAGAAGUCUUUCUCCAGAGGGCCAUCGCUCUUCAUCUCUUCCCCCCAGAGCACAAGGAGCAGGUCCUCCAUCCACACCGACGAAGAGAGAAACUCUACUUUUUCCGCUCUCUGCAAAGUCCAGUCCCAAGCGAUGCCCGACAGAGAAUGUAUCCACCGCGUUCGGUCGUCCCAUGCAUUGCCAACAGCACCUGCAUAACAGGUUUGAUUUGCACUUUGAUCAAACUAGUCUCGGCUCAUCGCUGCCAUCUCGGCGCAGCUCAAGGACAAGACUGCAGCUCACGCCAGAAGAGAUGUAAUUGCUGUGGUAUACAAAUUGCUUUGGGACAUGCUGUUAUAGGAAAACAUCACACCACCCCUGUCGUUGAUUAUUCUCCUAUAAACAACAAUAAAACUCGGAGUCACU